UGGAAGCAGUGCUGGAGCUCCGGGGCUCAGCCAGGCCUGAGGGUUGGGUAAACACAGGCCAGUGGGGAGGAGGGGACUGACACUCUCUACUGGAAUAGGCACGUAUUGUAUAUGAAUAAACACAUGCAUGGUUGUCUGUGAUUCAAAUGCAACAGAGCUGAACCUGCGCCGAUGACGGGAACACAAAAAGGAUACAAUGAGUUCAGGAUCAACGAAGACACUGAAAGUCUACUAGACUACAGGAAAGGAAUCUGUGAAGUGGGUGAGACAUACCAGUGUUGUAUGAGGACUACAUGGCCCGGUCGCAGCCUUCCUCAAUGCAAAGUCAUGGCAAACAGGAGAAAGUCACAGGGAGAGACAGUACAGUUGAAAGGAUAUGGGACUGCGUGUGUGGGGAUGACAAUUUCACUGUUACUGAAGACAACAAUUUCACAGCUACUGAAACAUGUGAGCUGCUUUUUUGGUGAUCACUCCAUUUUCUGCUUGUUUUUUUCCAAUCAGAAAAGCCUUUGGUACAAAACAUUUCCUCUGCACCCACUGCCACGACAGUAUUAAUGAAUCAACAGUGAUAGACCUGCUAGCAUUCACUGCAACAAAACUCUCACUGUUUAAUUAGGUAGCUACGUAUAAACUGCUGUAUUUAGAAACAAUCCUUAUACCACUUUGUGAGUAAAACUGAUGAGGGGUCUGG